UACGUAGGGACCGAGCGUUGUCCGGAUUCAUUGGGCGUAAAGAGCUCGUAGGCGGCUGCUCAAGUCGAAUGUGAAAACUCGAGGCUCAACCUCGAGCCUGCAUUCGAUACUGGGCGGCUAGAGUCUGGUAGGGGGUAUGUGAAUUCCUGGUGUAGCGGUGGAAUGCGCAGAUAUCAGGAGGAACACCGGUGGCGAAGGCGGGAUCCUGGGCCAGUACUGACGCUGAGGAGCGAAAAGCGUGGGGAGCAAACAGG
rnacentral:rRNA from 1 species